rnacentral:misc_RNA from 1 species
GAGGAAACCCUAAAACGUUAAAGCGGAAGCAGCAGCAGCUGUAAAAACCUUAACAAUGACGCAGAAAGACAAUCUAUUCAAAGGACAACAAAAGAGGAAAACAAUCCCUCCUAAUCGCCAUGGCAAAGUACCCAUUAAACGCAAAGGUCUCUUUUUCUUUCUUUCUCUCUCAAUCUAUAUAUACUUGUAUCUCUGUGUGUGAUUGUUUCAUUAUUAAAUUUCAAGAAUUGUUUACAUAUUUUUUCACCUUUUGUAAGGAAAGAGAUUUGUGAAGCCAUCAAAGACUACAAAGGAGAUGGAUGUUGAUCGGGUAAGUUUUAUUUUCUUCACUUCUUUUUUCGUUUUGUUCUUUGAUUAUGAAUGGAUGAAACGAAUUGCUUUUGCUGGUAAGUUAUGAGUUAAUUUGUCGGAUAGUAACGUAAAAAGAAAAUAUUUGUUGGUCUGAUGCAUUUGAUUCAUUACACAAAAUUUUCUAUAAUGAGAUUGAUUAAACCCACAAUUUUCUGUUACUUUGCUUUUUUCCAAUUUCCCUUGCUCAUGAAAUUUUCAUUGAAAAUGAGCAUUCACUUCGCAAAGAAUUUGAAAUCCUUAGAACUUUUUUAAUAAUAGUUUAUCAAGCCAAAAGCUUUUAGUGGAAUUGGCAUUUGUGAUUUUUUAAACUUGUUUUUACUACUAUUUGUUAGGCAAGAGUGAGAAAUUGUGUUGAAUUUGCGUCAAAUACUGAUUACCAGCACUCUUUGUACAAUGGGUGGUGAGUAUGAGCUGACGCCACAGCCGCUCCAUUUCUGCAAAGCUGAGGUGGCUAGCUUUGCCAGCCACAUUAUGCAGAUAUGGAAAAUUUUUCAUUGUAGUUUUCUUGUUUUCAUUUUUUUUUUAAAUUGUUUUUGGGUUCAAAAUCUUAUUUAUGGUGGAGAUGGAAGGGAUGAUUAUUUCCCCAGAUGAUCGACGCUGAAUAUACUGUGCGAUUUUUCUCUUUUGAGAAUCCAAGCCAGUCUUUUGAUCCAUCUUCAUCUUUUAUGUAUAAUGAAUAUAUUUUUUCUUUAAAUUCUUUUCUUUUGCCCUGUGCUGUUGUGUAUGUACAUAUGAGAAUGUGUGAUGACUACAAGAGAAGUGAAGAUGAUGUGCGAAAUUACAAGACAAGUGAGGAUACUUUCGCCGUAUGCAUAUAAUUUGUUCCCAUCUGUGCCCUAUCAAAUUCUUGCAAUCCUAAUCUUGGGAAUUUAUUUGUGAAGCCAGAUAUUUAUGCUUCCCGAUAGUAACCUUAAAAUUUAUUUGCUUUAAGUAUUCUUAUGUUAUGUUGAACAAUUUGGCGUCUAAAAAUUUGGGUCUAUAAAUGGGGUUUUGUUACCUAUUUUUAUUCAAAUUCCUUGGUGUUUGUUCACUCAUUUGAUAUGAGCUUAUCAAUCUGCACUUAAUUUUAGUGUACAAUUGCUUUUACGAUGAUAAAAACCUAAACUUUGGCUGGCUAUCUGUUCUAAUCAUGCUAAAAAGCUCAUCAAAAUAAAAACAUCUUGAAACACAUUGUAUUCUACUUUACUUGCCUCGAAAAGGAAAAAUGGAGGGAGGAGUGAGGGAGAUAGAUGUCAUUAACUUGAAGAAUGUUAUCUAACCCGAGCAUAAGGAGAUGCAUGAUUCUUGCAGUCAUUAUAUUUUGCAACUGCAUGUAUAUUACCAUUCAUUGUUUUGGAUUCUGUUUGUAAACUCUACUAAUGGCGCAUUUCCCCCUCAUCUGAUCUGAACAGGAGUUGAGCAAAUUCAUUAAUCAAUGCAAUGAGGUGAAAGCAGCCACAAUUGCUAACAAGGAAGGUGGCCAACUAAGUAUUGUCAAGGCACCACCAGAAACUUCUGGUGUUGCAAAGAAAUAAAUUUAGGCGAUGCUACAGAAGUAUGACGUAGGAAUUUACAUUAUCUUGAAACAUGUCCAGA